GACGAACCGUGCGAACGUUGUUCGGAAUCACUGGGCUUAAAGGGCGCGUAGGCGGGUCAUCAAGUCUGGGGUGAAAUCUUUCGGCUUAACCGGAAAACAGCCUUGGAUACUGAUGGUCUCGAGCGAGGUAGGGGCAGCUGGAACUUCCGGUGGAGCGGUGAAAUGCGUUGAUAUCGGAAGGAACGCCGGUGGCGAAAGCGAGCUGCUGGACCUUUUCUGACGCUGAGGCGCGAAAGCCAGGGGAGCAAACGGG
rnacentral:rRNA from 1 species